rnacentral:rRNA from 1 species
AGAGUUUGAUUAUGGCUCAGGACGAACGCUGGCGGCGCGCUUAACACAUGCAAGUCGAGCGAGAACCAGUCCUUCGGGGCUGGGGACAGCGGCGAACGGGUGAGUAACACGUGGAUAAUCAACCCUCGACACUGGGAUAGCCCGGGGAAACCCGGAUUAAUACCGGAUGUCCCAUCUGGCUUUCGGGCCGGCUGGAAAAGGUAGCUUCGGCCUCCGGUCGGGGACGAGUCCGCGGCGGAUUAGCUUGUUGGCGGGGUAAAGGCCCACCAAGGCGACGAUCCGUAGCUGGUCUGAGAGGACGAUCAGCCACACUGGGACUGAGACACGGCCCAGACUCCUACGGGAGGCAGCAGUGGGGAAUCUUGCGCAAUGGGCGAAAGCCUGACGCAGCGACGCCGCGUGAGGGAAGAAGGCCUUCGGGUUGUAAACCUCUUUCAGGAGGGACGAAGCCACUCGGGUUAAUAGCCCAGAGGGUGACGGUACCUCCAGAAGAAGCCCCGGCUAACUACGUGCCAGCAGCCGCGGUAAUACGUAGGGGGCAAGCGUUGUCCGGAUUUAUUGGGCGUAAAGAGCGUGUAGGCGGCUUCACAGGUCCGCUGUGAAAACUCGAGGCUCAACCUCGAGCUGUCGGUGGAAACCGUGUGGCUAGAGUCCGGAAGAGGAGAGUGGAAUUCCCGGUGUAGCGGUGAAAUGCGCAGAUAUCGGGAAGAACACCCGUGGCGNNNNCGGCUCUCUGGGACGGUACUGACGCUGAGACGCGAAAGC